AAGACUUUCCUUUCAGAGAUAAAAUCUUUAGUUUUUGACUUGAGAAAUGUGUUUCUGAAGAGUUUGGUCUCACUGCUCAUGGUGAUGAAGUGUUAAGAUGUUUCCUUCCAAGCAGGAAACUGGUGGGGAAACAUUAUUUCUUCUCCAUUGUUGAAGACUGUUAAGUGUUGCUGAGAGAGACUCUGUUGGAGGAAAUGUUUUCUGAGAGGU